rnacentral:lncRNA from 1 species
UGUCAUCACAAUCAUCAAGCUGCAACAUUUGUAUCAAGACAUAACUUAGCAGUUAGCACAUUUGAAUGUUGCGAUCCAAAAAGAAAAAUAAUGCAAAAGCUUUUGCAUGAGAUAAAUAUGAGUAAAUCCAAUGUAUAAAUUGCAACAGAGCAUCUCCUAUGUAUGAUUUAUGAGUCUUUUUACCAUUCAACAUUUGGUACCUCGAGGUACUACAAUUUUUUGGUACCUCGAGGUACGAACUGUUGGAUGGCAAAAUUGCUCAUGAUUUAUGGCACAUGAAAAUGAAUUGAUGGCUUAGACUAUAAAUGAGCAGCAGUAGUCUAGGAAAGCUUCUCUCAUAUAGAUACACUAAAAAUGUAACUAUGGUUUGGGGUUUUAAGGUACAGGUUUUCCAUAAGAUUGUUGCUCCAAGCAGUAAACAUCUUCUGGCAUGAAAGGCGGUACAUUCUUCUCAUCAGUCAAUUAGGAACCUGAAGCAGGUAAAAAAAGAAAGAUCUUACAUACAACAAAGCAUUACCUAAUUAUUUAGGUGCAACCAUGAAUGCCUUAAAACAUAUGCAGUUAGAUCGAGUAGCACAAUGUCUGGCAAGACAUACAGGACAAAAA